GGGUGGUUAGCUCAGUUAGGGAGAGCAUCGGCCUUACAAGCCGAGGGUCGCUGGUUCGAUCCCAGCACCACCCA
rnacentral:tRNA from 1 species